UGGGCUGUUCGCCCAUUAAAGCGGUACGCGAGCUGGGUUCAGAACGUCGUGAGACAGUUCGGUCCCUAUCCGUCGUGGGCGUAGGAAAUUUGAGAGGAGCUGUCCUUAGUACGAGAGGACCGGGAUGGACAUACCUCUGGUGUACCAGUUGUCGUGCCAACGGCAUAGCUGGGUAGCUAUGUAUGGACGGGAUAAGUGCUGAAAGCAUCUAAGCAUGAAGCCCCCCUCAAGAUGAGAUUUC
rnacentral:rRNA from 1 species